UUAGGAAUCUUGCGCAAUGGGGGAAACCCUGACGCAGCGACGUCGCGUGAAGGAUGAAGGCCCUCGGGUCGUAAACUUCUUUUGAGUGGGAAGAAAUUUGACGGUACCACUCGAAUAAGCCCCGGCUAACUACGUGCCAGCAGCCGCGGUAAUACGUAGGGGGCGAGCGUUGUCCGAAGUUACUGGGCGUAAAGCGCGCGUAGGCGGUUAUUCAAGUCUGGGGUGAAAGGUUCAGCGCUCAACGUGAACAGUGCCUUGGAUACUGGAUGACUUGAGUCUGGGAGGGGGAAGGGGAAUUCCUGGUGUAGCGGUGAAAUGCGUAGAUAUCAGGAGGAACACCGGUGGCGAAGGCGCCUUCCUGGCCUAAGACUGACGCUGAGGUGCGAAAGCGUGGGGAGCA
rnacentral:rRNA from 1 species